GAGGGUAUAGCUCAGUGGCAGAGUGCAUGCGUAUCACGCACGAGGUUCUGGGUUCAAUCCCCAGUGCCUCCG
rnacentral:tRNA from 1 species